GGGUUAAUACUUUAAAGAAAAGGUCAGUGUUGCAUACUGAAAUUGGCCGAGCGUCUUAAUCCU
rnacentral:tRNA from 2 species